CCAACCAUAGCUGAGUUGGUAGAGCGGAUGACUGUAGAGUACAACGAAGCCAUCCUUAGGCCGUGUGGUUAACUCACUCUGGUUGGA